rnacentral:rRNA from 1 species
UACGUAGGGGCAAGCGUUGUCCGGAUUCAUUGGGCGUAAAGAGCGUGUAGGCGGCCAGGUAGGUCGGUUGUGAAAACUGGAGGCUCAACCUUCAGAGGUCGACCGAAACCAUCUGGCUAGAGUCCGGGAGAGGAGAGUGGAAUUCCUGGUGUAGCGGUGAAAUGCGCAGAUAUCAGGAAGAACACCGUGGCGAAAGCGGCUCUCGUCGG